rnacentral:rRNA from 1 species
UGGGGAAUUUUGGACGAAUUGGGCGAAAGCCUGAUCCAGCAAUGCCGCGUGUGUGAAGAAGGCCUUCGGGUUGUAAAGCACUUUUGUCCGGAAAGAAAUCCUUGGCUCUAAUACAGUCGGGGGAUGACGGUACCGGAAGAAUAAGCACCGGCUAACUACGUGCCAGCAGCCGCGGUAAUACGUAGGGUGCAAGCGUUAAUCGGAAUUACUGGGCGUAAAGCGUGCGCAGGCGGUUUGCUAAGACCGAUGUGAAAUCCCCGGGCUCAACCUGGGAACUGCAUUUGGGUGACUGGCAGGCUAGAGUAUGGCAGAGGGGGGUAGAAUUCCACGUGUAGCAGUGAAAUGCGUAGAGAUGUGGAGGAAUACCGAUGGCGAAGGCAGCCCCCUGGGCCAAUA